AUGAACAUUAUGCAUUCUUAACUUUCUGACAUCUCUUAUGAAUCGUUGUGAUUUAACGAAGCUUAUUUAUCUGAUCUA